GUCCCAUGCGUUCAAAACUUCAGAGGUAAAAUCUCAUUUGAUAUGUGAAUGCAUAUUGUUUGUAAAUAGAGGCAACAGUAGUAUACCGAUGUUAACGUUCAAUCGAUAGAAAAAAACAAAUCCGGGUCAAAAUCCAAUACCGAGGAAAACAUUAAAUGGACGAAUGUUUACUAUUGCAGAUGAACAUAUCAUUAAACAGAACACACACUAUAGAAAAACAUUCACAAAUCAUCAGGACUUAUAAUAGAAGCCAGUCAUUGCUUACUUUCAGAUAUCGGAACGUUAUACUUUACAAGUCGCUAGCACGAUUUAUAGGAGAUCAACCUUAUCAACCACCAAUAGCUUACUUCUCCGAUGUACAAACAUGGCAAUAAAAUACAAA
rnacentral:lncRNA from 1 species